UGGGGCAGCUGAAUGAAAAAUGAAGUUUACAUGUGUGAGUAAAUUAGUGGUGAGAUGAGGUAUUUCUGUAGGUCACAUACACACACACCUUGACUCUAGUAUUUUCCAGACUGCAGUUUCAGGGCACAUCUGGCUUUCAGAUCUCUGAUUCUUCAAGAAUAAAAUUGGGUUAACUAGCAUUAAUAUUCCUGUACUUUCCUGCAUGGACACAUCUUCUUUCCUCCCAAAAGAUCCCAAAGUACCAUGAAUCACACCACAUCACUAACGUUCACCCACAUCUGGAGAGGGAAGGUGGCUUAGCCCAGGCUGCUCAGCAGAGCAAGGGAGGGGAAACUGUAGCCCAAAGCACCAGGCCAGGCCUUUGCUCUUAAAUGGAAUGUCAUUUAAUCUUGGUACAGACCGUAGCAUCUUUUGAAAAACCCCAGCGCAGCAAACGGUGGCUCCCCCAUCUUGAAUCAGAGGAAGCAGGUGUUGGCUUUCCCAUGCUUACACUUGCAGGGCUCCCAUUUUGAGCCUGAUGUGAACAGACAAAUGAGUUUCUGAAGGUUGAUACUGCUCAGCCAGUCACCCACAUACCAAAGGCUUUCUACACAGAGACAGGACUCGUCCGAUCCAGCAGAAACUCUUAAAACUCUUUUCCUCUUGCACCAUCCUCUCAGGUGUCCUCAGGGACAUCAGACCUAUUAAGGAUGAAUUAUGGAGAAGUGCAGACAGGAAAGCUCACGCUGGAAGGGACUCCAAACUGCAGAAUCUCCUACAGAAAUGUUCCCCAAACUCACCCUAGUGGCUGACCUCCUGCAGACCCUGGGCCACCUCCACACGGGAUCUGCUCAGUGUUGUCCCUCAUGAAGCCAUUCCUGCCUACAGCAAGUCCUGGACUGGGCAGGUCUGUGUGAAACCACCCGGCUGGGGCUGGCAGUGCUUGUGCAGCAGAGCUUUUUGGUGGAGGGACGGAAGCCCCCGCUGGAGUUUCAGAUGACCUGUGGCUGCAGACACGGCGAGGCAGCGCGACGUGAGAGUGCGCAUGAUACCAGUCGCAGCUGGUCUGAUCUCAGGGGGGUACCAGAUUUCUACUGACAGAGAUUUAUUACCUUGUCCUUUUGUUGGGUGGGAGGAGGAAAGCUGUCAGAAACUUGCAGGAACAAGCUCUGGGCCCAGGCUCUAGAGAAAACUCCUUUUCAGCAAAGCUUUCAUUUCCCACUGCCCUCUCUUUCUUCCAGCAGGAGGUUGUGGAGCAGCUUGUAAUGAAGUCACCCCCACAACCCUGUUACCUCACUCCUUUGGCUUCACAGUGACACCAAGUAUAACAACUGACCUGUCAUCAGCUGUUACGUCCUUUCAAGAUGAACAAACUGCAUAAUGACAAUUUAUGUUCACAGUGACAGCUACAGAAUCUCGCUGUUGUGCAGGCAGGCACGUUCAGGCUUUCACUCUGGAUCUAAAAAGUUUAAUUGGGAGCUCUUAAAGCCUAAAAUAAGGCUUUAAAAGUAAAAAGCUGAAGUCAAAUGCAGCCAGGGAUUUCUUCCCAAACCUAAAUAUUCCCAGACACCUUCUGAACAGGCCCUCAGAGAUUCUAAUAAACUGGGAGGUAUCUCAAGAAGGGCCGUGUUUUCAGUUUUCCUAUUCACCGAGCAAGUGAGAGGUAGCACAGCAAACCAGGCAAAAGGGAGAAGGCUCUUGGAGCACAAAAAUCAUGUGCCCAGAAUUAUUCAGGAAGAUGUACUUAUUUGCCAAGUGGUUUUGAAGAAGCAGGAACACCUCCUUCUUCUCCAAACAUCAUCUUGCAUUUAAAAUGGUUUGAGUCCUAGCGCAGUGCAAUUUCAAUGACUCUGCAGAGGAACUGUACUUAGAAGAGCUCAGAGACCAUCCUGGCUAUCAUGGAAAUUGAUACAGUGUAAUAAAUAAGCCAAACUGAGCUUGAAUCCUCAAGGAGAAGCAAAAUCUUAACACUGCAGAUGCUCACUAAUAGAAAGUUGUAAGAGGCCUUCACAGCAGAGUCUUUGCGUAAGAUCAAUGAGGCUCCCGCACUCCAAAGGAGCAUGUGUGGGAGGUCCUGAAACAGUAGUAGGCCAGUAUUUAACAUUGCAAAGGCCGGGGAUGUGAACAGCUUUGUGGAAGAAGAUGGAAUUGCUCUUUUGGCAAAACAUGUGAAACUGUCUGUGAUAACGGGAAUGAGAGCAAGGAUGACUGAACAAAUAUUUGCACUGAAUGUCUUGUCAGGACAGGGGAAUUGCUACUGAUAUGAUCUUUACUUUCAAUGUUACUGCUUCUGACAGUCUAACAGACUUUGCAGAUGUUUAUUGGCCACUAAAUCAUUCUUCAAGAAUGUUGGCUCCAUUCCCAAACCUGAAGAGUCUGAAUGUGAAGGGGUUUGUUAUUCAACACACACUGCUGCUGCUUUUGGAGACAGAGAUUUUCAAAAAACCAGCAGGGAAGCAUCGUCAACUGAUAACAACAUGGAACUGAAUUCAGACUUCUCAGCACUCAGGCACUCAGAUGUUGAGGCAUGCUUGAGUAAAUGAGCACCACGUAGCAGGGCAUCGUGUAUCCACGUGGCAUAGCACACUGUCUCAGCUGCAACAGCAACGCUACGCCACAUUAACAGACCUGUAUCGUAGCAAAGAUUGCUGAGGAGAGACAGGGCUUCCUAACUCAUCCUGACCUUAAUAUACUGCUUGCAGUUCUUGGUAUAGCACAACUGCAUGAAUUUUGAAGCCUCUGUAAAAUUCACUCCAUGACGCUGCAGAGAUUAUUGCUGUUCCGUGCGCUACUCUAACUGUAGAACACGCUGCAUAACAACAAGGCGUAUUCAAACCCUCUGCCAUUCAUCCCAAGAAGAGUAGUUCGCAAAGAUGCAAUUGCUGAGCUCUAGAGGACUCUAAGCCACAAUAUUUCAAGCCAAACAGAUUUGCUUUCAAAUAGAGAGUAUCUGAACCAUGGGCAAUAUGCCCAGGCUGUUUCUCUCAGUGAAGAUGCCAAUUCUCUGAGAUCACUGCAGAGAGCUCUCACCUGAAAAAGCUACACUGGACACUGGGAACUAUACCUAAAUAGCAACUACACCAAAACAGUAGUAAUAAUUGUGACAGUAAUAGCACAUAUCUUUUAAAUAAUGAGUGAUAAAAAAAAAUCCAUGCCUUUGUACUAAUAAAACGACAAAUUAUUGCAGCACAAUGUAUUAUUACCACAGAGAAAAAAUGUAUUAUCCAGAACUAUUAAACAUAUUUCUCCCCAAAAGGCACGGAUUACCUUGACAAGCGUAGCCCAAGUCACAAUAUCGGACAUGAUCUAACAACAGCUAAAGCCAAUAGCCUCCUCUAAACCCUAACUGAAUUGCUGGCUAGCAGCCUCCAAUAUCAGAGACAAUGUUAUCUAAAGCAGACCCUUGUAAAUUUUUUUCCUGCAAAGUGGGUGAAUAUUGUUUGUUUAAAAAUAUCAGGUGGCACAGAGAUAGGGUGCUUCAGAAAUAUGCAAGACAGGUGCAGAAGGCAAUAAUGUCAUAUAUACUGCAUAUUUGUUCUGCAUUAGCUCAUACACAUUUUUCUGGAAGUCAGGAGAUUUCUAUUAGGGAAUUCUCUCCUGCAACAGUUUGCUAUAUCAGACUUAAAACACAUAUUUAGGGGAAAGCCAUAUGGUAUUUAUGGUUAAAUCAACCGACACUUAAAAAAAAUAUGAAUUUUGAAUAAUUUGAAAGAUCUGUGGAUCAAAAAUAACUCAGAAGCUUUAUUAGCAUGCAUAAAUAACCAGUCUUCCCUCCUGUUGCCGUAAAU